GUGCAUACCAUUGAUGGAGGACUCAAUAAGUGAAAGGAAUGAAAGCACAUUUGACCACCUUUACUUUCGGUGUGAGAUUGAAUGUUUUGAGAUCACAACCAUUUGAUCCUCAUAAUAAUAAUAAUUACAGCUUUUGGAUUAGACACUCACAGCAAGAUUUGUGGGCCUCUUUAUGUUAAACUUGGCAUGCUCUGUUUCUUUACGUGUCUCGAAUCAAUUAAAGCACCAAAUAGCUAGUCAAUGGAUCUUUGUCUAAUUCUCUUCACCUAAUCAUGCUUAACAUUUCGCCCACAAUUUUGGAACAGGAUUUGCGAUUCUUUCUGCCUCUAAUUUAUGAUUUUUCCCCCAUUUUGCUUAUCUUCUUUACAUGAGUUAACAAUGGGGUCCAUCCCAUUUUCAAGUUCUUGGUUGGGACACAGCCGUUUGUGUAGCACUUAGGAGAAGUAGAAUAGAAUUAAAUGGCUGUCUGGCUGAUACUUUCUCCCAAAGCUAUCAAAAUCUAAAAGAUCAUCU
rnacentral:misc_RNA from 1 species